GCUCAGUUGGUUGAGUGUCUGACUCUUGACUUCAGUUCAGGUCAUGAUCUCAUGGUUUGUGAGUUCGAGCCCCACAUUGGGCU
rnacentral:tRNA from 1 species